UACGUAGGGUGCAAGCGUUGUCCGGAAUUAUUGGGCGUAAAGAGCUCGUAGGCGGUCUGUCGCGUCUGCUGUGAAGACUCAGGGCUUAACCCUGAGCUUGCAGUGGGUACGGGCAGACUAGAGUGCGGUAGGGGAGAGUGGAAUUCCUGGUGUAGCGGUGGAAUGCGCAGAUAUCGGGAGGAACACCAAUGGCGAAGGCGAGCCUGCUGGGACGGUA
rnacentral:rRNA from 1 species